ensembl:lncRNA
CCCUGCGUGCCCCCACCCGACUCGGCCACCUCCGCAGCUGUGGCUGGAGCAUGCUGAAGGAGCCGGUCCCGGUCGCCGGACCGGUCGGAACGGCCCGUGCGGGCCCGCACAGCACUCGGUCACACUAAAGCCGCAGCUGGCUCCCUCUGCACGACCGGCUCGGGCACGCCAGACCGGUCAGACCGGCCCCUGGGGACCCCCACAACACUUGGUCACACUAAAGCCGCAGCUGGAGGCCUCUGCAGGACCGGCUCGGGCUUGCCAGACCGGUCGGCCCAGCCCCUGUGUGCCCCACAGGACUCGGUCUCACUGCAGGUGCGGCUGGAGGCCUGUACAGGACCAGCUCAGGCUUGCUGGACCGGUCAACCCAACCCCUGCGUGCCCCCACCAGACUCGGCCACCUCCGCAGCUGCGGCUGGAGCAUGCUGAAGGAGCCGAUCCCGGUCGCCGGACCGCUCGCACCGGCCCCUGCGGGCCCGCACAGCACUCGGUCACACUAAAGCCGCAGCUGGAGGCCUCUGCAGGACCGGCUCGGGCUCUCCGGAACGGUCACCCCGGCCCCUGCGUGCCCAAACAGGACUCGGUCACACAGCAGCAGUGGCUGGAGG